rnacentral:lncRNA from 1 species
UGUUCUCCGGCGAGCUCGGCGCCGACCGGGACUUCUUCAUCUACAGCCGUCACUUCAAUCCGACGGUGCUCAACCUCAGCCGUCAGAUGGCCGCCCUGGAAGGGACCGAGGCCGCCUACUGCACGUCCUCCGGGAUGUCCGCCAUAUCCUCCGUCCUGCUCCAGCUCGUCAGCAGCGGGGACCACAUCGUUGCCUCCAGGACCCUCUACGGUGGGACCCACGCCCUCCUGACCCACUUCUUCCCCAGGGCCUGCAAUAUAACGACGACGUUUGUGGACAUACACGACAUGGACAUGGUGAGGAAUGCGAUCGAGGUUGGGAAGACCAAGGUUCUGUAUUUUGAGGGCAUGUCUAACCCGACUCUGG